rnacentral:rRNA from 1 species
GACGAACGCUGGCGGCGUGCCUAAUACAUGCAAGUUGAGCGCUGAAGGUUGGUACUUGUACCAACUGGAUGAGCAGCGAACGGGUGAGUAACGCGUGGGGAAUCUGCCUUUGAGCGGGGGACAACAUUCGGAAACGAAUGCUAAUACCGCAUAAAAACUUUAAACACAAGUUUUAAGUUUGAAAGAUGCAAUUGCAUCACUCAAAGAUGAUCCCGCGUUGUAUUAGCUAGUUGGUGAGGUAAAGGCUCACCAAGGCGAUGAUACAUAGCCGACCUGAGAGGGUGAUCGGCCACAUUGGGACUGAGACACGGCCCAAACUCCUACGGGAGGCAGCAGUAGGGAAUCUUCGGCAAUGGACGAAAGUCUGACCGAGCAACGCCGCGUGAGUGAAGAAGGUUUUCGGAUCGUAAAACUCUGUUGGUAGAGAAGAACGUUGGUGAGAGUGGAAAGCUCAUCAAGUGACGGUAACUACCCAGAAAGGGACGGCUAACUACGUG